AUGUCAGAGGAUUUUGCAUUCAUGCAUGGCAUUAAAAGCGAGGACCUGAACACUUCGCUAUUAGUACACACUCCCGUGGGCCAAUGUCGGACCUCCAUGAUUUGCAACGACGUCCCCGUUGAAAUCGAAGGACUGGAAUUCCUUGCCUCUCCCAUCGUACUGAAGUCUUGUAGCAUCGACCUCAUUCUGGGAAUGGAUUGGUUGAAAGCGCAUACUACUUCUAUAGUUUGCGCCACUAAGGUCGUCCAUUUGCUACACCCUUCUGAUGAAAUAAUUGCUUACCAAGCUCAUCUAGUUCAGAACGCCGAGUGUUCUCCAAACUCGAUUUGA
rnacentral:rRNA from 1 species